rnacentral:rRNA from 1 species
UAGUCGAUGGGAAACGGGUUAAUAUUCCCGUACUUCUUACAAUUGCGAUGGGGGGACGGAGAAGGCUAGGUGGGCCUGGCGACGGUUGUCCAGGUUCAAGUGCGUAGGCUUAAGAGUUAGGUAAAUCCGGCUCUUUCUAAGGCUGAGACACGACGUCGAGCACCUACGGGUGUGAAGUCAUUGAUGCCAUGCUUCCAGGAAAAGCCUCUAAGCUUCAGAUUGUAAGGAAUCGUACCCCAAACCGACAC